UGGGAUUAAAGGCGUGUACGUAC
rnacentral:misc_RNA from 1 species